rnacentral:rRNA from 1 species
AUUGAACGCUGGCGGCAGGCCUAACACAUGCAAGUCGAACGAGUGGCGGACGGGUGAGUAAUGUCUGGGAAACUGCCCGAUGGAGGGGGAUAACUACUGGAAACGGUAGCUAAUACCGCAUACCAUCGGAUGUGCCCAUAUGGGCGUAGCUAGUAGGUGGGGUAAUGGAUAACCUAGGCGACGUGCCCUAGCUGGUCUGAGAGGAUGACCAGCCACACGGGAAAGGAGACACGGUCCAGACUCCUACGGGAGGCAGCAGUGGGGAAUAUUGCACAAUGGGCGCAAGCCGGAUGCAGCCAUGCCGCGUGUAUGAAGAAGGCCUUCGGGUUGUAAAGUACUUUCAGCGGGGAGGCGUUACUCGCAGAAGAAGCACCGGCUAACUCCGUGCCAGCAGCCGCGGUAAUAC